CCAUCAUUAAGUUGGGCACUCUAAGUUGACUGCCGGUGACAAACCGGAGGAAGGUGGGGAUGACGUCAAAUCAUCAUGCCCCUUAUGAUUUGGGCUACACACGUGCUACAAUGGACAAUACAAAGGGCAGCGAAACCGCGAGGUCAAGCAAAUCCCAUAAAGUUGUUCUCAGUUCGGAUUGUAGUCUGCAACUCGACUACAUGAAGCUGGAAUCGCUAGUAAUCGUAGAUCAGCAUGCUACGGUGAAUACGUUCCCGGGUCUUGUACACACCGCCCGUCACACCACGAGAGUUUGUAACACCCGAAGCCGGUGGAGUAACCAUUUGGAGCUAGCCGUCGAAGGUGGGACAAAUGAUUGGGGUGAAGUCGUAACAAGGUAGCCGUAUCGGAAGGUGCGGCUGGAUCACCUCCUUUCUAAGGA
rnacentral:rRNA from 1 species